rnacentral:rRNA from 1 species
CCUACGGGUGGUAGCAGUGAGGAAUAUUGGUCAAUGGCCGGAAGGCUGAACCAGCCAAGUCGCGUGAGGGACGACUGCCCUAUGGGUUGUAAACCUUUUUUAUAAGGGAAGUAAAAAUGCUACGUGUAGCAUGAUGCCCGUCACUUUUGAAUAAACAUCUGGUAACUCGGUGCCAGCAGCCGCGGUAAUACGGAGGAUGCGAGCGUUAUCCGGAUUUAUGGGGGUUAACGGGUCUGUAGUGGGUUUUUUAAGUUAGUGGUUAAACGUAUGUGUUUAACCUUGAUUUGCAAUUAAUACUGUAAGACGCGAGUUCAGACGAGGUAGGCGGAAUAAGUUAAGUAGCGGUGAAAUGCUUAGAUAUAA